rnacentral:rRNA from 1 species
UACGUAGGGGGCAAGCGUUGUCCGGAUUUACUGGGCGUAAAGAGCGCGUAGGCGGAGAUCUAAGCGUGGCCCUGAAAGCCCCCGGCUCAACCGGGGAGUGCGGCUGCGAACUGGGUUUCUUGAGGACGAUAGAGGAGAGUGGAAUUCCUGGUGUAGCGGUGAAAUGCGUAGAUAUCAGGAGGAACACCCGAGGCGAAGGCGGCUCUCUGGGUCGUACCUGACGCUGAGGCGCGAAAGCGUGGGGAGCGAACGGG